rnacentral:snRNA from 1 species
ACAUGACAUCGAUGAAGUA